rnacentral:lncRNA from 1 species
GAGUAACGGUGAGAGAAGUGUUGAAAUACUCCCUCACUUGGGUGAUUAUCCCAUCACGAACAGUCCAAGCGUGAACCCAGGAGAUCGAACGGCUGUUAUCACAGCCUUCAACGAUGACGGUGGAUCCAAAGGUGGUGACUGAGACAGGGUCGACCUCGAAACGGAAAGGAUCGUCGGAUGAAGCGCCGGUGAGUAAGCGCAUCAAAAACUGGUGAGUGGGUGGACCGUGGAACCACCACUCUAGGUCGGGAGCAAGGAUUUGGUGAACGGUGUUGACGUCUCGUGUGUUUAAGGCUUCAUAGAGGGCAAGAACCACCGCUUGGUUCUUGUUGGUUUCCUCCACGGUUUUUUGCUGUGCGUUAGCCAGUUCUUAGCAAAACGAACCAAAAUAGCAAAGCAAAGAAGAUUUGGUUUUGUGCAAUCAAAAGAGAACCGGCGAGGGGUCUUAUGUGAGGAUGUAAGGAGAAAGGGGUUUAUAUAGAAAAAAACAGGUGAUUUUGGGUUUUGAUUCGCUACACCCGUUUCUUGUUUCAUAAUCUAAGCUAAUGAGGACAAGAGAGAAGAAUGGGGGUUACGUGGCUGGACACGAGUGGAUUUGGCGACAAAGUGGGUCCCAUAGCUGAUGAAUAAUCAGAUUUUAUCGUACGCGGCUAUGUGGGGAUGAUGACAGGUAGCAAAUAGUCAUCAAAAAAAUUCUGCUGGACCCAAUUUGAUUAUUUAAUUUCAAAAAUAUUAUAAAAUAGUCAUUAAAUUAUUUAAAAAAAUUAUUUCUCUUAAAUUCUUUUAAAAAGUUAGACUAACGAGUUUUAAGCAACGAUUCAAUGAUUGGUACGGUGAAUUAAUAUCUAUCGGCAAGUAGAUAAACAUACUUUAGAUGCAACUAAUUUGACAAUCAGUGUCAAAGAUCGAAAAAGAAACUAUUUAAAUUUUAGUUUAAAGUUAUGUCACGAAAAAGAUUGAGUUGUAGAGGAGAAGGGAAAGGAAAGUGUUCGAUUGGUACAAGUGGUGCGAAUAAAAGUUAUGCAACAACGAUUUUAACAAUUUAAUAACUUAAAUAAUGAUACCUUUCAAAUAGUUCAAUGAUCACUUUGUAACUUGUUGAACUUAAGUAAUCAAAAUGUAAGCUUACUAAUAGUUUAAUGACAUUUGACAAUUUAACUUCCAGUUAUAGAUUAAUUUCAUCAUAUCUCCUCAAACUAUAACACAAAUUUUAAAUUAGUCCAAAAUUUCAAAACCUACUAAUUGAGUUGUAAAAAUAUCGACUUUGUAUCAAUUAAGUUCUUUUGUUAGCGUGUAGAUAUUAAAUUUUUUUUAAUGGUAAUGUAAAUUUCUUAUUUUUUCUUGUUUCAUCCUUUCGGAUUGGAAAUCUAAUUAAGUAUAAAACCUCAUUCAACUUUCCUUCUUCUUUUAAGUAACACAUCAUAGAAAUAGAAAAUUUUGACGAAUCGAGUAAUGUAUACUUGAAAAGUGGAAGAGGUUUUUAGUUUUUAACAAGCAAUAUCACAGCAAGCAAAAUGGCAAAAAAAAUUGGCUCCCUUAUAUUAAUGGCACAAACUUUAUUUUUUGUUACAUAUCAAGGAUUAUAUGUAUACGUGAUAGGUUGUUUUCAUUUCACAUCACCUUAGUUUUCAUUUCAAUUUAGUCACUAAUUGGUUUUUUGUCUCACACGAUAGGCAUUUUCAUUUCAUAUCGACUCAAUUUUUUUUCUUAAGGAUUUAACCAUUCAUGGUUUUUGUUUCAUUUGAUGGGAUGUGUUUGUUUUUUUCUCUUUUUUGUCUAGAACUAAGCAUAGUUCCUUACUUACCUGUAAAUAGAAAGGCAAUGCGUUUCAGCUCCCUUGAACCCGCAUUCUUUUACAUUGAUAACAAUAUUCAUAUCAAUCUAGCUAGAAAUCCUCAUAUAUCAUUAAUUAAAAGUCCAAACAAUUUUGAUUCAAAGCAUACCAAAGCAAGUUACAAUAACCGUGUGUUGAGAAAUGUUCCCAAGUUGCAAUUGAUGUUAUAUCUAAUAGUUGUAAUUGACACCAACAAAUAGGUUUUAUAUGGUGAAAGUACCAUAAAGGUUCUUGUGCUAAGAGUUAAUUUGUAUUUUGUUCUUUCUACUAAAAAACAGACAAAUUAAUUCAUAUAUGUUAAAUUAAAGAGUAAAUUGGUUCUUUUUGUCAAAAAUUUAACCAUUUGUAUUGUUAAAAAUUGGCAUGAUUGGUGAAAUAAUCAGACAAUGACACAUAGCGUGUCAUAUGUACCUAAUGCUAACGUAUCGAGACCAGCUUUUAAUAGUAAAAAUGUAUGAAAUUUUUAACAAAAUGAUUAAUUUGUUCUUCCAUUUAACGUUUACAAAGACUAUUUUUUUUAAAUAAAAUGACAAAAUACAAUCCAACUCUUAAUACAAAAAAUCUGGUUAGCCUGAUUGACCAUGGUAAAUAAUAGUUGGUGUUGGCUUGGAGACAGGCCAUGCUCAUCUAUCAUCUAUCAUCUAUCAUCGUUACAGCACUAAAAAGGGUCCCUCCUCGGCCUUUUGAUCAAGAUCAAACGCCUAUUGUAGUCCCCAAAUUGUCUAGUCCAAAAGUGGUCCUCAAUUGUCCCUACCACUAUCACAUUCCCUGAAUCAGGAUGUAAGGUUGAAUACUUUGCAAAAGUGCAGACAAUUGCUCCAAUAGCUUGCCAAUGUAGCUAGAAUUGAAAGAUGGUAAUAUUUUGGAAGGUAGAGAUUAAUGUGACAAGGACCCAAAUUGCUCAACUGAUGUGGAUUAAGAUAUGAUUUGUCAAUUUCCCCAUAAACUUUUUCCUGAAAAAAAAAACUAAAAAUGUUAACAGACAAAAAAAAGUGAGUGAUGCUUUGUUAUAUUAGGAUCAUGGAAGCUUUUUGAGCUGGAAAUUUCAAUUUCAAUGAGCUAUAUGCUUCCUAUGGAAAUCAAAUCAAUGAGCUAUUGCCUGAAAUGGCUGAUGGUUAAAAGCACCUAGUCUCCCAAAUGGAUUUAGCCCUAGUGGGGGUGGGUCAAUCAAGUUCCUUUCAACUUAAUUGCUAUUCGUUUAGGGGAACCAUGAAAGGAUAUAUUUUGCAUAAAUGGCACCAACAACCAUGAAAAUUAGUUUUUAUUUAUUUAUUGUUAGUGUCUUUUUUACUUUGAGUUUUAUAAUUGUCUCUUUCAAUAAUAUUAUAUUCAAAAUUUGAACUUACGAUCUCCUUUAAGAAUAUAAUGUACUUUGUCAUUGCACCAACACUUAUUAAUACAAUGUAAAUUAAUUGUCCUUAUUUAGAUCAUUGGUUGUAUCAAUCCCCAUUUGAUGAAAAAGAAAGUGUUGAUUUCACUACAUGCCCUUAAACUAUAAUUUAAAUUUUAAAUUAAUUUACAAAUUUUAAAACAUUUUACUUAAAUCUUUUAAAAUGUUAAUAUAGUCUUAAAUUGGUGUGCUAUUACCAUAAAUGGGUCAUGAUUAAAAGCAACUAGUCUCCCAAAAGGAUUUAACCCUAGUGGGGUUGGGUCAAUCAACUAUCUUUCAAUUUAAUGUUGGGGGAUAAAUUUGUGUAAGCAACAAAUAAGAAAAAUAACGAAAAAAUUAAAAAGAUCGAACAUAUAAAUUUUAUGUGGAAAAACUCUUUCAAAGAGGAUAAAAAAUUAUGGGUAAAGAUAAUUUCACUAAAUCGACAAAAAUGAAGAGUACAAAAAUUGGAGAUAAAAACUAAACCUUGAAGCCCGAAAAUAAAAUUCUUUGAAAGCUUGUGAAAGAGAAUACUCAAAUGUGUUAUGUGUUAAUCUUUCUAAGGUAGAAAAUGGUCCAUUUAUAGGUUAAAUUCGUAAGUCAAAUAAUCUUUAAAAAACCUACACUAAUCAGAGUUUGACAUGGACAAAUAAUCAAAAUUUGAUUGGAAGAGGAAAAUCAAGAAAAUGGUAUGAUACGUCACCACGCAUUCUAUCGUGUUGUCGUGACGUCAUUUCUGCUUCUCCCUUGUUUCAUCGUCGCAUUGUUGAGGCAUUACUCUUGAUUUAUGUCUUAAUUUGACUGAAAUGCGAGGCAUACCCACACAAUUGCUAUUUGUUUAGGGCAACCAUGAACGAUAUAUACCGCAUUAGUGGUACCAAGAACAUUGUAAAUUAGUUUGAUACCCACCUAUUGUAGCAAUUCCCAAUUGAUGAAAAAGACAAGGUUAAUUCCAUUCAACGUCCUCAAAUUAUAAUACGAAUUUUAAAUUAAUCUUAAAAUUUUAAAACAUUCUAAUUAAAAUUUUAAAGUGUUAGUAUUGUGUCAAUUAAUCAAAUCAUUUUGUCAACUCAAUAUCAACUUAAGAGUUAAAUGUUAAUUCAUGAUCUUACAUAUAGUAUAUUUAAAACACAUAAAUUAAAAUUUGAAUACGUUUGCACCUAUCGCACGGAUAGCUUGAUUCACACAUGUUAAAAAAUAGUGCUACUAGAUUUUAAUGGUGUUGUCCUUUUUAUAACAUAUUGUAACGCCCCCUAACCCUAUACCGUCAUCGGAAUAGGGUUACGAGACAUUACCAGUCAGUACAGUCCAAUUUCGGUCAUUAAUUAAAAUAAAUAUUUACACACAUCCUAGUUUUAAGAUGUCGUCCCUUUAAUGGGCCCUCGCGGUCCAAUAUGAACAGUAAAUUUCAAAAUUCAUACUACAUACCAUUGCCAACCAUAAUUUACUCAUUUCAUGAGUACAUCUACAACCUAAAUGACUCUCAUAAAACAUCCUAGGUACAUGCCAUUACCAAUAAUUAACACACUUUACCUUAAUGAAUUCGGGAUCGAACUGGGAUGCUGAUUCAACGUUCUAUCUUUACUAAACCUGCGCACGGAAACAAACCGUACGCUGAGUAUGGUAUACUCAGUGGUAUUUCCAUAAUCCGAACACUUAAUAAUAUAACAAUUAAACUUAAAACCACAAUAACAAUUAUAAGUAUUCAUUUAUUUGUUUUAUAGAUAAAUUUUCAAUUACUUACCAUAUAAAUUCUAUACAAGUCAUAUAACAAACACAAUAACAUAUUUGUUCAAUUCUUUUCAUUUACUUACCGUAUAAAUUCUAUACAAUAUAUUCACAAUUCACUUGUUUUCACACUUUAUUUCUUAACAAUAUACCAUUUUAAUUCAUUUUAACAUCAAUCAUCAUCCAUUUGAACUUCACUCAUUUCAUGAACCUUUUGGUUCAUGUUUUCAAUCUCAUAUCUCAAUUUCAAUUCUCAAUUCAAUUUCUCAUUUCAUUCCAAUAGCUCAAUCAAUCAAAUUCACUCGACUUAUCUUUUCACUUAUUUACCCCUAUUAACAAGACUCGGACCUUGGCGGAUACACGGAUCCAACCAAACACACCAAUAUGGCACCCAGUGCCUCAUCGGAUAGUUUGAAGCAAUAUUUGACACCCAGUGUCUCAUCGGCCUAGCCGAAGUAAAGUUGGUACCCAGUACCUCAUCGAAUCUAUCCGAAGAAAUAUAGUGACACCCAGUGUCUCAUCGACUCGAGGUCGAAGAAUCCCUGAACACUUCCAAUCCUAUGGCAUGCCAACUAUAUCCGACUCAGCCCGAUACUGUUAAUAGGGUAUUCAAUUCACUUUCAAUUUUUUUCAAUCAAUACACAUUUUAAUUAAUCACAUAAAUUCAUAAUUCAAUACAAUUCAAUUCACUUUUCAAUAACAAAUAUCCAAAUAUCACAAAUCUCAUAUUUAAAAUUUUCAAACAAUUUAUAUUUCAAUUCAAUUCAAAUAAUCAAUAUAUAUUCAAUAUUCAAUAUAUAUAUCUAUAUAUAUACGCCAAUUUAAUCAAUAUAAAUUCAAUAAUUUCAUCACAUACUAUAUCAAUCCAUUUCAUUUGCAAAACACAAUAAUUCUUACUUCAAAACACUUAAUAUACAUAUUAAGAAAUAAAUUCAACAAUUAAGUAUUAGGUUCGGAUUAUAGAAAUACAAACCGUAAUUUUCAAGCUAACUCCCGUUGACUUUGUCUUGUCCUUUCUUAGCCGAGAUUUCUGGUAUCACAUUGACUACGAAAUUAAUACAAUUUAUAAUCAUUAAUACAUUACUAAUUCAUAUCUUGAGUUAUAGAAUUCUAAAUUAAGAUCCGCUAAUUUUUCCUGAAACUAGACUCACAAAUCUUCUUACAAUAAAAUUUUCAGAAUUUUUGGUUUAGCCAUUAAGUACAGUUUAUUCUUUAAGUUCACCCCUAUUCUGCUGUCUGACAGUUUCGUCCCUUCUUCACUAAAAAUUAAUUAUCUCACAGUACAGAACUCGGAUAACAUUCUCGUUGAUUUCUAAUGAAAAUAGACUCAUUACGGAUUCUAAAAAUAUAACUUUAAUCCUCUAAAUAUUUUUAUUAAAUUUUUGGUGAUUUUCCAAAGUCAGAACAGGGGAACCCGAAUUCAUUCUGACCUUGUCUCACAAAAUUCAUUAUAUCUCAUAAUUUACAAUUCAAUUGCUUAUAUCGUUUCUUCUAUAAGAAACUAGACUCAAUAAUAUUUAAUUUCAUAUUUUAUUCAUCCUCUAAUUCAAUUUCUACAAUUUUUGGUGAUUUUUCAAACUUAGACUACUGCUGCUGUCCAAAAUAGUCUUAGUACAAAAUGUUGAUUUUCAAUUUAAUUCUAACUAAAUUCACUUACUUUUCUAUCUUAAUUCAUACUUUAUUUCUAUUCAAAUUUCAUCCAUACUCUCAUUUAAAUAUUAAAUUUCCAGCAUACUUUCCUAAUUUCAAAAUUUCAUCAAUUUAGUCCCUACAACAUAAAACUUAUAACUUACUUUACAAUUUGAUCCUAUUAUCAAUUCUAGCUUGAAAUUUACUCAAUUAAACCCUUAAUUCACUAUUUUAUUCAACAUGAACUAUACUUGAAAAUCUAUAAACUCUCAAAAUAUCAACUUAAUUUCAUCAAAGUCUUGUUCCAAAGCUUCUAAAACAUCAAAAUUUAAGAAGAAAUGACUUAAUUGACUUACUAAAUUAAACUUUGAGCCUUGAAACCCAAAUUUUCCUUUUUCUUUUUCUUUCUUUCUUUCUCCCCUGUUUCUUCUCUGUUUCGUUUGCUUUCAUUCUGUUUCUUAUGUUUCUUUACUUAUUUAUAUAAUAUAAUAUAUAAUAUAAUAUACUAUAAUAUAAUAAUAAUUUAAUAUAUAUUUUAACACAUAAAAAAUCUCAGAUUUUUAUGUUUAUGCCGCCUCACUUAGGACAAAUGGCAUAAUUGCCAUUUUGGUCCUCUUCAUUUUCUUUUAUUCUACAAUUCAACUUUCAUCCUUUAUUCAAUUUAGUCAUUUUUCCUAAUUACUCUUAAUUAAACUAAAUUUACUUAAUUAAACUCUAAUUAACCACUCAAUUGACUUCGUAAAUAUUUUUAAUAAAUAUUUACGAAUCCAUUUUUCAAAAACAGAGACCCGAAAAUACACUUUUUCGGUAACGGUAAAAUUCGGGUCGUUACACAUAUCAUAUCCAAAUUGUUGACACAAUAGGCAAAUAAGUGUUAAAAUUUUAAUCCAUGUAUUUUAAAUGUGCUCCACAUUAGAUUCAAGCUAGCAUUUAAUGCAUACUUGACAUUAGAUUAGUGGAAGGACUUAAUUGACAUAAUACUAAUAGUUGAAAUUUAGGAACUAAUAUAAAAUAUGGAUCAUAGUUUAGAGACGCUUGCUGAACAUAACCCAAAAAUAAAAGUCAACAAACAGUUCAAUUACUCAACGAGUAGAAACCAGCCUGUAACCAUUAGUUGCGGUGCGGUGGUUGCUCAGUUCAUUUUUUAACUAUGUGUUCGAUGGUUCAAUCCCUAUUCAUAAGAAUGAAGCACGUUUCAUAACUAACCGUUUACUUCUUCAAAGAGCAAAGCGAGGAUUUCACAAAAUUUUAUUAUUAUUUUUGCACCAAUUUCAAUGAACAUUCAACUUUGAUGAUACAACGUUCACCAGCCUAUAUUGUCAAAUUGUGCCACCUAUGCCAAACUUACUUCAUCUCUAAUGUCGUUUUUUUCCCCGAAAAGAGCCAAGGUUAAUUUGCAAACGAAAGCAACCUAAAUUUUCUGUCCUCUAAUGAAGGAGCUGUCCUCAAUAAUACGCUCAUUUAUGCUAUUUUAUGAUUUCAGAUGUAUAUUAUUAGCAUGUAUCCUUUUUGGGGGGGCUUUCCAAUGGUGGCUACUAGUACAGGGCGGUGCUUGCUUGUAAGGGCGUAGCUUAGAUGGCAAGAAGAGGGGCUUUUGCCCCUUAAUUAAGUGGCUCAAUGCAAAAGUUUGGCUUUUGAUUGGCAUACAAGGUCACGUUCCAUUAACAUUUUAAUCCAAUAAUUAGGUUGAUAGUCAAAUCGAUUAGACAUAAACUUUUAAUUUGAACGACUCUAUUUUAAAAAGUUACAAAUUUAUCACUAAAAUAUUUAAAAAUUUUCAUUUAAAUAAAUGAAUGAUUCAAAAUUUUUAUUUAAGUCAUUAAGCUGUUAAGGUUUUUUUUUUUUAAAGUUUAACUAGUGAACUCCAAGUGAAUUUAAUAGAUAGUACAGUAGAUCAGUACCCAUUGACAAGUAAAAAAACAUAUCAUAAAUGUAAGUCGAUCAGACAAUCAUUGUCGGAGAUUGGAGAAGAAAACUGUUUGGAUUUUAAUUUACAGAUUUGUGAAGUUUAAAGCUUUUUAUAAAAAAAAACUAAAUGCAAGCGGUAUGAACAAAGAAGGGCAUACAUUAGCGAUUUUAAAAUUUAAUAAUCCAAAGACUUAAAUGAAAAUUUUCAAAUAAUUCAAUAAUCAUUUUGUAAUCUUUUAAAGUUAAGGGACCAAAUUAAAAAUUUACUAAUAAUUUAUCGACUUUAAACAUAAUUUACCCUUAAAUAAAUAAUUAAAAAACUAAUAAAAACUAAAAAUCAAUGCAACUAAUUCAAUCCUCGAUUUUUUAUUCUAAUUUUUAAUUUUUCACCGAUUCCGAACAAUUCACUAAAACCGUUAAAUAUAUCUGAACCGAUAUAUCAACUAAUUUUUUAUUCAACCGAUUUAAUAUCAGUAUCUUCCAUUUAGAUACCAUCAACCCUUUAGACAGCGUGAAGUUGCUGGCUAUGAUUAUGACGUAUGCAAAAAAAAAAAAUCGUCAGUAAGUACCCAAAAAUUGCAGCUACCUCGUAACUUCGCAAGCAAUUUUCUAUUGACAGAUAUUGUCCUCGUCACUGUCCGACCAGCUUACCCAACUCAAAUAAAGAAUUUUUAUGUUAAAUUGUAGUUUUGGUCCUUCUACUAUAUUCAAUUUAAAGAUUUAGUCUCUAUACUAAUUUUAUUUAUUUACUUUUAUAAUAUUAUUGAUUAUUUCGAAUAGUUUACAUUAUUAACCAUUCUAAUUAAAUUCUGAUUUGGAUUUAAAAAGAAAAAAGAAACCAUACUUUCCGGCCCCAUAAAAUCUACGUUAGCAAUAUGAGUUAGAAUUUUUUUUUUGAAAUUGAAGUAUUAUUUUAAUUAAAAUUGUUAAUGGCGUUACCUAUUUAUAUUAGUUAAUAACAGUAUAUAAAAAGGAUUAAAUUAAGCUAAAUUAAAAUAUAAGGACUAAAUUAUAAAUUUGGAAUUAGUAGGUGAACAAGAACUAUAAAUUAACAUUUUUCUCGCAUGCGUGUUUAGGUGUGAGAUUUUCUACCUGUAACGCGAUACAGAUCUGAUGUGAAUUAUGUUAUCAAGUUAGGUUAAUAGUAUAAUUGACAGAGCUAAACUAUUAAAAUAAAUAUUUUAGUUAUUUAUGUUUGAAAUAUUAUGUAUUAGUCACUUACAUUAUUAUUUUAUUACGAAAUGAUCCUUCUGUCGUUAAAAUCUGUUACCUCUCAAACAAAAAUCUGACAUGACAAUUAAAAUGAGUUUUAGGCCAAAAAAAACCCUAAUUGUUGCUUGUUUUUAAAUUGGAGAAAAUUGAGUUUUAAGCAAAAUUUUGUAUUUUAUUUUCAUAAUUUUUUUUAACUUUUCUUAUUCCGACUGGACAUCCACAUUGACAUUCAAAAUUUUGUAUUUUAUUUUCAAAAUUUCAAAUAUAAAUUAUAAUAUUUAAUAGGGAAAACAUUUGGUACACUGUUAAUGAAGUUUUUAGAUUUCAUAAGUCGGGUCAAGGGGUUGACAAAUAUCCUAUAUUAGAAAGGAGCUAUAAGUAAUUUUAAGAAUUAUAUAAAAAAACAGAUAUAAUUAGAACAAUAAUAAGAUUGUUCAAUACAUAUAAUUUUUAAGCACAAAAGUGUAAACUUAAUGUAUUGUGUGAAAUUAGAAUUUGCAAAAGCAUAUAGUUGCCACUAGAAAAGUAUUAUAUUAUAUGCUUUUCACUUUCACUAUCCAUUUGGUUUUUUUGGUCUCAUUUAUGGCUUUCGUAUGUCAUUUGGCUUUCUAAUUUCAGAGAUAAACUCCAAUCCUUUAUUUAAUUUUUUUUAAAUUAAAAAGAUAAUUAAUUGAUUUAGUUAAAAAAAUGAUUUAAUUUUUUUUAAAAGGUUAAUGGUCAAAUUUAGUUCAAGAAAAUAUUAAAAUGAAAAAUUAUGUAAAUAUUAAGGGCUAAAUUUAGUAUUAUGCAAAAAUAAAAAUAUUAACAGAAUUUCAUAGUUUUGUUAAAUGUAUGGAGUUACUAUUUGGUACAAUGAUAAUGUUCUUUUUUUUUUAAAUUCUGAAAAAUGACUUUAAAAAAUUGUCAUGUCUCUUUUUUUUUAAAUAUUUAUUUUUAAUACUCUAUUGUACAUUUAUAUUCCAACCCAUAAAUACGAGAACUAUGUACUUCAGUGCACUUAAACUCAUAUCAUCUUGUAUUGACAAUAAUAUUAAUACAAAUUGAAUUAAGACCCAAUCGACGUAUUUAAUAUAUUUUAACUUUAAAACUUCAAAACUAAAUUAACAAAUUUAGUUGGUGAGGAAAAAAGGAAAUGGCAUAUUUUGGGGCAUAACCUUUUGAAAAUGGAGAUACUACAGCAUAUAUAUUUAGGAAUCAUAUGCUUUAUAAUUUUAGUUAGUUCAGAUCCUUAAAUAUAUGAUAUUGACUUGUUUAAUUAAUUUAAUUAUCCCUUUUUUUUCAUUUAAAUUGGCCCACAAAAACAAGAUAAUACAAUAAAUAAAUAAUUAAACAAUAACACUGGUAAUUUAGGGGAGGAAUAAAAGAGUAAUAAUACUAAUUACUUACUUUCACUUUUUUUUUUUUACUUACAUUUGCUUUCUAUAAAUUGAUUGGUAAAUAUUGAGAUUUUUGAGUAUUUGAGUACAAUAUUCAAGUUCAAUCAUGCAUGAUUGUCAUUAGGGAUAUACCGAAGAAAAAAUUUUAGGGAUUGAGAUUAAGUUAUAUAUUUUUUGAAAGGUUAAUAUACGAUUCCACUCUUGUAUUAACUUAUAUCAUUAUGGUUUUUAAAAUACUGAAAAAAUAUAACAUUUUUGGAGUGAAAUUAUUAUUUUACCAUAUAUAUAAAUUUUGAGGGUCUAAAAUAGAAAUUUUCCAUUUUAAGAGAUCAGAGCCCUUGCCAAUCCUAUUUUGUUCUUGUACAUUUUAUUUAAUUCUAUUUUAUAAUUAUUAGAAUAUAUAUUUGUAAUCCUAAUCUACUUGUUUAUAAACUCUAAAAAAAUGGAAAGGAAAGAAGGAAUUGGUCACCACAUCUCCAUGCUAAAUUUGAGUUGAAAAUUGGAUAUAUUCAUGUGGUAGAAAGCGAUACAUUCAUAUGGAUCAUUUAAUAUUCCCCAUUUAUUUUUGGGCAUAUGCUUUUGAUAUCGAAUAUUACUCAUAAUUUAUAUAUUUAUAUAUAUAUGUGUGUAAAAUAAUCAAAUAGCUCUUCUUGGUCCUGUAUGAUAUGAUUUGCUUCUUAUCAUGUAAUAUUCACUAUUUUUGUUGUAUGAUUAAAACUUGCAAAUCUAAAAUCAAACAUUCUAUGAGAUUUUUUUUUGGUAGUAAAUAGUAAAUAUGUUUGGUUAAAAUAUAUCAUAAAUUCUUAUAAUUUUUGAAAAUUUAAAAUUUAAUCUGUAUUUUUAUUUUUAAGAAUUUUAUUUUAUUUAUAUAAGUCAUGUCCCGACAAGAAUAUUUAAUGUAAAUUUAGUAGGAUCAAGAAAAAGGUUAGAGGCGUCGUUCUAGAAAACGAAAGACACUUUAACCUUCUCUAGAACUUUAUUGAUAUUCUAUUAAAAUCUACUAAUUAGUUUUUUCAUUACAUCUUUUGGUUGAAGUAUCGGAAAGUGUUUCGAAAUAUAAGUUUUUAUUGGAACCCACCCAUUGUUUGAAAAGUCAAAAAGGGUGGGCACCGAAAGUAGAAAGUAAAAUUGGUUGGCAAGUUGGGUUAAAAGUUGGCAUGGGAUAAUUGCAAUUUUGGUCCCUAAUUGUAUAGGGACAUUGCAAGUUGAUCCUUGAACCUCAACUAUAAAUAGGCCUAACCAUUUCUUACUUUCUUCAUCCCACACUUGCCAUUCUCUACUUAGGGCAAUUGUUCUCUCUCCCUAUUUGUAAACUUUCACUUGUAUUUUUGGAGUGAAAUAUAUUUGGUAGUGCCCGAGGACGUAGGCAAAAUUUGCUGAACCUCGUUAAAAUUCUAGUGUUCUUUAUUUUUUUGUUCUGCAUAUUUUGCAAGUGUCAUUGUAGUAAUUUAUUGUGCUAUUAAAUUACGAUAGAUGGAUAUUCUGGCUAGGAAAGAUCUGGUAUGUAAGCGAUCCUCGUGAUCCACCUCUCUUUCCUGGGAAUUGAACUUAGUGUGAUUUUUCAGUACAAUAAUUUUACUCUUUCACACGCUUCCGCGCAACAAUUGGUACCAGAGCCAGGUUCGUACUUGGGGAAUACGACCGUUUACGGUACUAUUCACGUAUACGGCACUAUUCACGUAUAUAGUACUAUUCACGUAUACGGCACUAUUCACGUAUACGGUACUGUUCACGUAUACAGUAGUUGGGAUUGAGGAGAAAAAUGGCAGCAGCAUCGUCAUCAGCAAGGACUACUGUGACAAAUGCAAAAUUUGAAGUAGAGAAAUUUGACGGUACCAAUAAUUUUGGUAUGUGGCAGUGUGAGAUCCUGGAUGUCUUAUGUCAGCAAGAGCUGGAUAUAGCCCUUGAAGAAAAACCUGACAAGAUGGAUGACAAGGAGUGGGCCAAGAUCAAUAGACAGGCGUGUGGUACAAUCCGCCUAUGUUUGGCCAAAGAGCAGAAGUACUCCGUCAUGAGGGAGACAUCAGCGAAGAAGCUGUGGGAUACAUUGGAAGAAAAGUUUCUCACGAAAAGUCUUGAAAAUAGGCUUUAUAUGAAAAAGAAACUUUUUCGGUUCACGUAUGCACCCGGUAUGUCGAUGAAUGACCAUGUGAACUCAUUCAAUAAAAUUUUAGCAGACUUGCUAAAUUUGGAUGAGAAAUUUGAAGAUGAAGACAAGGCAUUAUUGUUGUUGAAUUCCCUUCCUGAUGAAUAUGAUCAUCUUACCACCACAUUGCUUCAUGGGAAAGAUUCAAUCACAUUUGAUGCAGUCUGUAGUGCGUUGUAUAGAUCUGAGACUCGAAAGAAAGAUAAAAGAGAUCACAGAGAUACAACUGCAGAAGUCUUAACAGUAAGAGGUCGUUCACACAGCAGCAAACCUGGUAGAAGGGGAAAGUCCAAAGGGAGACCCGCCAAAGAUGAAUGUGCCUUUUGUCGUGAGAAAGGGCAUUGGAAAAAGAAUUGUCCUAAGUUACAAAAGGGCAAGUCUAUUUCUAAUGCAUGUGUAGCGGAGCAUGAUGAGGAGUCAGACUUUAGCUUGGUUGGCAUGGCAAUGGCAUGUCAAACGGAUGAGUGGAUAUUGGAUUCGGGAUGUACUUACCAUAUGUGUCCUAAUAAGGACUGGUUUUCUAGUCUUGAAGAACUAGAAGGUGGAGUUGUUUUUAUGGGCAAUGAUAGUGCCUGUAAGACAAUGGGUGUAGGUACAAUCAAAUUGAAGAACCAUGACGGCUCAAUCCAAGUUCUGACAGAUGUUCGCUAUGUACCCAGCUUGAAGAAAAAUCUCAUCUCAUUAGGGGCCCUAGAAUCUAAAGGGCUCACAAUCACUUUGAGAGAUGGAUUACUAAAGGUAGUAGCUGGGGUAUUGACGGUGAUGAAAGGCACUAGAAGAAAUAACUUGUACUAUUUAAAUGGAAGUACAGUUAUUGGAUCAACAUCAACAGCUUCUGCGAAAGAUGCAGAUUCAGAGGCUACCAGGUUAUGGCAUAGGCGAUUGGGACAUGCUGGUGAAAAAGCUUUGCAGACUUUGGCGAAGCAAGGCUUGUUGAAAGGUGCAAAUUCUUGCAAAUUGGAAUUCUGUGAACAUUGUGUUCUGGGCAAGCAGACGAGGGUAAAAUUUGGUUCAGCAAUUCACAAUACGAAAGGAAUUCUGGACUAUGUUCACAGUGAUGUGUGGGGACCUACCAAAGUGGCUUCUUUGGGAGGUAUGCACUAUUUUGUCACUUUUCUUGAUGAUUAUUCAAGAAAAGUAUGGGUGUAUCUAAUGAAAAGAAAAAAUGAAGUUUUGGAUGCAUUUCUGAAGUGGAAGAAGAUGGUGGAGACUCAGACAGGUCGAAAGGUCAAACGACUUCGAUCAGAUAAUGGUACUGAGUACAAAAAUGAUCCAUUUCUACAAGUAUGUCAAUAUGAGGGCAUUGUGCGACACUUCACUGUUCGAGAUACACCACAGCAGAAUGGGGUGGCAGAACGCAUGAAUCGGACUAUACUGGAGAAAGUUCGAUGUAUGUUGUCCAAUGCUGGAUUGGGCAAGGAAUUUUGGGCUGAGGCAGUUACAUAUGCGUGCCAUCUAAUUAACCGAUUGCCAUCAGCUGCAAUAAAUGGAAAAACUCCUAUGGAGAUGUGGACUGGUAAACCUGCUACUGAUUAUGAUUCUUUACAUGUUUUUGGUUCCACUGCAUAUUAUCAUGUAAAAGAAUCUAAGUUAGACCCAAGAGCAAAGAAAGCAUUAUUCAUGGGUAUAACUGGUGGUGUAAAAGGAUACCGUCUCUGGUGUCCUGAUACAAGGAAGAUUGUUUUCAGUAGAGAUGUAACUUUUGAUGAAUCAACCAUGAUGAAGAACGAGGAUUCACAAAAGGAUGACAAAACCAGUAGUACUUUGCAGCAGGUGGAGUUUGAAAAGGUUAAUGAUGAUCCAGCUAAUAUUGAAAGAACAAAUGAUGAAGAAGUUUCGACCCAAGAACUUCUACAGCAACAAGAUUCAAUUGCAUAUAGGAGGCCAAGAAGAGAGAUUCGUAAGCCUGCUCGCUUUGACGAUAUGGUGGCCUAUGCACUUCUAAUUGCAGAUGAUGAUGUUCCUUCCACUUACACAGAAGCAAUAAGUAACUCUGAUGGUGUAAAGUGGAAGCAAGCUAUGAAUGAAGAAAUGCAGUCUCUUCAUAAAAAUAGGACUUGGGAGUUGGUGAGACUGCCCAAGGGAAAGAAGGCAAUUGGAUGCAAAUGGGUAUAUGCAAAGAAGGAAGGAUUUCCUGGUAAAAAUGAAAUUCGAUACAAGGCUAGAUUGGUAGCAAAAGGUUACGCUCAGAAAGAAGGAAUAGACUACAAUGAAGUGUUUUCUCCAGUUGUGAAGCAUUCAUCUAUUCGGAUUUUGCUAGCCUUGGUUGCGCAAUAUGAUCUUGAACUAGUUCAGCUUGAUGUGAAGACCGCGUUUUUACACGGUGAUUUGGAAGAGGAAAUCUAUAUGACUCAGCCAGAUGGAUUCAAGGUUGCUGGAAAAGAAAAUUGGGUUUGCAAACUGACAAAGUCGCUUUAUGGAUUGAAGCAAUCUCCGAGGCAGUGGUACAAGCGAUUUGAUCAGUUCAUGAAAGGGCAAAGGUACACAAGAAGUAAAUUUGAUCAUUGCGUGUAUUUUCAGAAGCUACAAGAAGGAACUUUCAUAUACUUGCUCUUAUAUGUUGAUGAUAUGCUAAUAGCAUCUAAGAGCAAAGUUGAGAUUGAAAGAUUGAAGACUCAACUCAAUCUCGAGUUUGAGAUGAAAGAUCUAGGAGAAGCUAAAAAGAUUCUCGGCAUGGAAAUAUGUAGAGAUAGAGCUCAUGGCAGAGUUAGCUUGUCUCAGAAGCAGUAUUUGAAGAAAGUACUACAGCAGUUUGGCAUGAACGAGCAGACCAAACCUGUAAGUACCCCGUUGGCUUCUCAUUUCAAGCUUUCUGCGCAACUAUCUCCUUCGACAAAUACGGAACGAGAAUACAUGUUGCAAGUUCCGUAUUCUAAUGCAGUGGGUAGCUUGAUGUAUGCAAUGGUGUGUACAAGACCCGACAUUUCACAGGCAGUUAGUAUAGUGAGCAGGUAUAUGCAUAAUCCUGGAAAAGGACAUUGGCAAGCUGUGAAAUGGAUUCUACGGUAUAUUCAGAAGACCGUGGAUGUUGGAUUACUGUUCAAGCAGGAUAAUACACUUGGUAAAGGUGUUAUUGGGUACGUUGAUUCUGACUAUGCCGGUGAUUUGGACAAGCGAAGAUCAACCACCGGUUAUGUGUUUACACUUGCUGGAGGACCAAUAAGUUGGAAGUCUACACUACAGUCUACAGUUGCAUUGUCAACCACAGAAGCCGAGUACAUGGCAGUAACAGAGGCUGUAAAGGAGGCUAUUUGGUUACAAGGUAUGGCUAAAACCUUGGGGUUGGUUCAGGAGCAUAUUAACGUGUAUUGUGAUAGUCAAAGUGCUAUUCAUUUAGCAAAGAAUCAAGUCUAUCAUGCACGUACAAAACAUAUCGACGUACGAUUCCAUUUUGUGCGGGAAAUUAUUGAAGAGGGGAAAAUUUGUCUUCAGAAGAUCAAGACUGCAGAUAAUCCCGCAGAUAUGAUGACCAAUGUGGUAACAUCAACCAAGUUCGAACAUUGUUUGAACUUGAUUAAUAUCCUGCAAGUUUAACAGUUGAAGAAGGCACUAUCAAGUAUUGUUGUCAAAGGCAGAAAGAAUUGUGUGAAGAUAAGAUUAUCCUAAUCAAAUCUUCAAGGUGGAGAUUAUUGGAACCCACCCACUGUUUGAAAAGUCAAAAAGGGUGGGCACCGAAAGUAGAAAGUAAAAUUGGUUGGCAAGUUGGGUUAAAAGUUGGCAUGGGAUAAUUGCAAUUUUGGUCCCUAAUUGUAUAGGGACAUUGCAAGUUGAUCCUUGAACCUCAACUAUAAAUAGGCCUAAUCAUUUCUUACUUUCUUCAUCCCACACUUGCCAUUCUCUACUUAAGGCAAUUGUUCUCUCUCCCUAUUUGUAAACUUUCACUUGUAUUUUUGGAGUGAAAUAUAUUUGGUAGUGCCCGAGGACGUAGGCAAAAUUUGCUGAACCUCGUUAAAAUUCUAGUAUUCUUUAUUUUUUUGUUCUGCAUAUUUUGCAAGUGUCAUUGUAGUAAUUUAUUGUGCUAUUAAAUUACGAUAGAGGGAUAUUCUGGCUAGGAAAGAUCUGGUAUGUAAGCGAUCCUCGUGAUCCACCUCUCUUUCCUGGGAAUUGAACUUAGUGUGAUUUUUCAGUACAAUAAUUUUACUCUUUCACACGCUUCCGCGCAACAGUUUUGAUGUAUUGAUACAUUUUCUUUUGUCUUAUAACUUACACACCGGGGUAGUUAGAGGCUCUAGCCCCUUAAAAUAGAAAAUUUAUUUUUUAGUACCUCUACUAAUACAUGAUAAAGUUGCAUUUCAAUUCUCCAAAAACAGAUAAAAUUGUGAAUUAAUUUCUAUACAAUAAUAAUUUUGCAUUUCAACUUUUAUUUCAACCCUAAAAAAUUUUUUGAUUUCGUCCUUCACUCUAGUUUCAUCCAAAGAUCGAAAUUAUUAGAUUUUUCUAGAAAACGAAAGACAUUUUCGACAAACUUGUUUUAGUCAUUGGCAAAUUAAGUUGGGUAGUGGUAUGGAUGAGUUAUAGGAGAUUGGAAAAGCGUCAUCGUAAAACAUGUCCCUUAAACAAGAAGGAAUCAUCACAUGGUUCAAAUAAAAAAUGGGGUUUUAAGAAUAAGAAUGAUCACAUGGUUAAAAAUGAUGCCAAGACAAAAGUAUCCACUGUUCCCCUUCCCUGUCGGAGAUUCUCAUCUUCAUUGAUUAUGGUGCAACAGAUUCUUAUAUGAACAAAUGCUCCAUUAAAAAUAGCCCAAUAAAUAGAUUUUUUGGAUAAAAUUUCCUAUAUAAUGGGGAGCUCAAAGAUUGAUCAAAUAAAGUUGUAAUAAAAAUAAUUGUGAUAAAAGUUAUUAAUUUAAGAUAUUAAAAUAUUAUGCCAAUCGAUAUAAGUAAAUGUAAAUCGAUAUUAAUCGAAACAACAUUGCAUUAGAACAUAAUUUGAAUUACAUGAUACGAAAAUUUUAUAUAUCAAUUAAUGUGAUCAAUACAAAAAAAAUAUUGAUUAUCAUGAUACAGAUACAUAUCCGUCAUUUCAAUCGAACUAUUUAAUUUAAAAGUAUUACAAUUAAAUUAUUCAAUUUAAAAAUUAAAAGUAUCACGACGAUUCUUAUAUUAAGACUUAAAUUAUAUUUUUAUCUUAUUUAUUUUUUAAAAUUAGACAUAUAUAAAUUAAUUAUUGUAUAUAAAUAGCAAAUUAGCUAAGUAAUUAUACUUAAAACACGAUGUAUAAAUGCAUGAUGAGUUAAGAUGAAUUAGUAGAGUGUUUUACUUUUACCCUGGAAUUUAAAGUAGAAGCAUCUGCAAUAAUAAGAAAGUGAAGAAGAUAGCAGAUUUUUAUUACACAAUGGAAACACUGAAAAUGAGGAGGUGGAGGAACUCUUCUCAUACCGGACCCCACACACUUCACUAAAUCCAAUUGCAUUGGAAGACAACACUUGAAACACAACAAUACUAAUAAGUUACCAAAUUGACAGUCCAGACACAAUAAUUUUUAACACCAGACCAAACUCAACUCAUGGAACUAACAUCUGUUAUCUUAGCCACACGUGGGAGGAGGAAACUAAAUUGCAAGAACAAGACCUGGAACCGAUUUCCCCACCCGGUUGGAAAGACUACUCUCCCAAACGUAAGGGCAAUACACUGGCGCAAUCUCCGCCGUCGAAGAACUGCAAGCUGACGGUGGAGAGUCUCUAAGGCGAGUAACGGUGAGAGAAGUGUUGAAAUACUCCCUCACUUGGGUGAUUAUCCCAUCACGAACAGUCCAAGCGUGAACCCAGGAGAUCGAACGGCUGUUAUCACAGCCUUCAACGAUGACGGUGGAUCCAAAGGUGGUGACUGAGACAGGGUCGACCUCGAAACGGAAAGGAUCGUCGGAUGAAGCGCCGGUGAGUAAGCGCAUCAAAAACUGGUGAGUGGGUGGACCGUGGAACCACCACUCUAGGUCGGGAGCAAGGAUUUGGUGAACGGUGUUGACGUCUCGUGUGUUUAAGGCUUCAUAGAGGGCAAGAACCACCGCUUG